AUUGAACGCUGGCGGCAUGCCUUACACAUGCAAGUCGAACGGCAGCACGGGAGCAAUCCUGGUGGCGAGUGGCGAACGGGUGAGUAAAGUAUCGGAACGUGCCCAGUCGUGGGGGAUAACGUAGCGAAAGUUACGCUAAUACCGCAUACGAUCUAUGGAUGAAAGCGGGGGAUCGCAAGACCUCGCGCGAUUGGAGCGGCCGAUAUCAGAUUAGGUAGUUGGUGGGGUAAAGGCCCACCAAGCCGACGAUCUGUAGCUGGUCUGAGAGGACGACCAGCCACACUGGACCUGGGACACGGCCCAGACUCCUACGGGAGGCAGCAGUGGGGAAUUUUGGACAAUGGGCGAAAGCCUGAUCCAGCCAUGCCGCGUGCAGGAUGAAGGCCUUCGGGUUGUAAACUGCUUUUGUACGGAACGAAAAGGACUGCCCUAAUACGGUGGUCCCAUGACGGUACCGUAAGAAUAAGCACCGGCUAACUACGUGCCAGCAGCCGCAGUAA
rnacentral:rRNA from 1 species